GUGGGGAAUAUUGGACAAUGGGCGAAAGCCUGAUCCAGCCAUGUCGCGUGUGUGAAGAAGGUCUUCGGAUUGUAAAGCACUUUAAGUUGGGAGGAAGGGCAGUAAGUUAAUACCUUGCUGUUUUGACGUUACCGACAGAAUAAGCACCGGCUAACUUCGUGCCAGCAGCCGCGGUAAUACGAAGGGUGCAAGCGUUAAUCGGAAUUACUGGGCGUAAAGCGCGCGUAGGUGGUUUUGUAAGUUGGAGGUGAAAUCCCCGGGCUCAACCUGGGAACUGCCUCCAAAACUGCAUGACUAGAGUACGGUAGAGGGUAGUGGAAUUUCCUGUGUAGCGGUGAAAUGCGUAGAUAUAGGAAGGAACACCAGUGGCGAAGGCGACUACCUGGACUGAUACUGACACUGAGGUGCGAAAGCGUGGGGAGCAAACAGGAUUAGAUACCCGAGUAGUCC
rnacentral:rRNA from 1 species